rnacentral:misc_RNA from 1 species
UGGGACCAUAAUGUUAGCAACAGCAUCAGCUAGACGUGCGUGGAUUGCAACCAAUAGCUCUGCUAGAGCCUCACUUGAAGCUGGAACAUAAUUUGUUACCAAGCUUGUGGCAUAAACAGAAUUUUUUGUUUCUUGGGUACUGAGCCUGUCCCAACAGUGGGCAAUUUCAUGAUGCAAAAUAGGAAUUGCAACCUUUUCUACUAGUUCUGGAACAAGAUUGCUAUCAGCAUCAUCAGGACUUAGAUCACUUCCAUCUUCUGGCAAACCAUAAUUAAACAGCAGGGAAUGCCAUUUCAUAUCAAAAAAAUCAGCAUCCUCAUGGAGAGGGUCCCAUUUUAGAAGUUCUAGUCUCACGUAGGGAGAGAAGAUGGCAGGUGCGCUUAGUGACAUGUAUGCAUCUCGAUAGCUUGUUGAAUAUUCUCUUUUCCACCUUUCAAACCUUUCUUUAACAACUGACAGUUGAGAAUAUUCUUCAGAAGCAUCACCAAAUAUUUGAUCUGCAGUCUGAAGCAACAAAUCACGGUUUGACUGGUAAGCUGCACUUUCACUGUCACUCUCAUCUGUGCUUGAUUCUCCCUCUAUUUUCUGAUCAGAACCAUCUACCUCCAUGGAAGACAAUCUCUUUGACUCAAAUCGAGCUUUCCUACGGUGACGGGCCUCAGCCCUCCUCUUCAUAUCCAUACGUUUCUGUUGGUUGAUGUCUCUACCAAAUUCAUCCAACUUCACAGGAAGAUUAGCUUGUUCUUUCAUGGUAGCUGAUGCAGCUUGGGCUGCACUUGUAGCAGCAGCAAUAAAUGAUGCACUACUGCCCCGUUCACUGAAAACCAACAUCGCUGCCUUUACAGCGGCUUCCACCUCCAUCAUUUCAUCGUCAUUAUCAGCAGUUCUUCGUUCUACAAUUGCAGAAGCACGCUGUUCAUGAAGCUUCUGCAUCUGUUCUUCCAAUUCCUCAAUGUAAGGAGCUUUAUGCUGCAGAAAUUCACAUAUAACAGAAACAAAGUCACGAAGCUUUUGCAUAAAGAUGAACUUCUCACCAGCGGCAGAUAGAGAUCUUUCAAGAGC